UCUCAUCUUUUUAAGUGGGAGAACUUGCACAAUUGGUGGCUGACUAAAUACUUUUUUCCCCCACUGUAUAUAGUGGAAUAUGUGAGGAAGGAAUAUAUACAGGAGUAGAAUAGGGAUAUGAGGAACCUAUUCCCUAUAUAGAACAAGUCAACUACAUCUAGCCAAUAGGAGGAAUAUGGUGCCAUUCCAGAAGCACCCGACUGUGUCUGUUUAGCUGUGGCUGGUUGUCCACUAGGGGAUUCUAUCUCUUAGCUGUGGCUGGUUGUCCACUAGGUGAUUCUAUCUCUUAGCUGUGGCUGGUUGUCCACUAGGGGAUUCUAUCUCUUAGCUGUGGCUGGUUGUCCACUAGGUGAUUCUAUCUCUUAGCUGUGGCUGGUUGUCCACUAGGUGAUUAUAUCUCUUAGCUGUGGCUGGUUGUCCACUAGGUGAUUAAAUCUCUUAGCUGUGGCUGGUUGUCCACUAGGAGAUUCUAUCUUUGUUCUGAUAGCUAUCUUGACUUUUGUGUCCAGCUUUACUUCAACAGUACUUGAUUGCAAUUUUAGAAAUUCACAUUGAAUCUCGAGGGUGCCGUGAAAAUAGGGCGUUGUUGUGGGCUUACAGAUUUGUAACGGCCGGGAGAGCCCAGCACGGAAUGUUUUCUUUCAGUAGUCUUUUUCCUCACACCCCAGGACCCCGAGCUAAGCUAGCUGGAUUGGUUAGCAUAGCUAGCUGCAUACUGUCAGUUUAGCUAGGAUAGCUGGAUUGGUUAGCUUAGCUAGCUGCAUACUGUCAGUUUAGCUAGGAUAGCUGGACUGGUUAGCUUAGCUUGCUGCAUAUUGUCCGGUUAGCUAAAAUUGCUGGAUUACUGUACCCAAGCUAAGACACCAUCACUCCCCAACCUCAACCCUGUACAGCCCUACUGUACACUGGACUUACUGUACCUAUGUUAAGGCCAAGCACCUAGCUGACACCAUCUUUAUAACUCUCUCGCUGUCUCUCUCUCUCCUUCUGUCUAACAGAGGAAGUGUCCAAGGGCAUUUUUUAUGUAUUCCUUCACAUGGAGACCAACCCAACAGGUUAACUCUGUACUGAAUAAGACACUGUAUAAUAAUUAUAACAAUAAAACUAUGUUGAAAGUACUUCUGAUUCACACAGAGGAACAUGUUCAUGGGUUAAAUACAUCAGUCUUCAGACACUGUGUUGAAUUCUCCACUGGUUUGCACUGAUCUGGUACGAAGAGCAUCUGAAGAGAGGACAGAAACAUGGUAUUCAGAAUGUCUAUGGAGCAUAAAUGGGAAAAUAGUUUUUGACUUAACAUGUAACUUCUAUCCAGGUCUCCAUUGGCGUCAGGCCAACUGUUUCAAUUCAACUGUUUCAGUUUAACUGAGUUUACAGUGAUCUGCCAAUACUGUACGGUGGCUUGGGAGGGACACUGGUCUAUGGGAUGUUGUGGGGUAUUUAGGGCCGGAAUUCAAUCCAUAGAGCGCUCUCGGCAAUGCAGCUUUUAAAGGCCAAUGUUAUUCUUAGGAACAACCCUACUCUACAUCUCUGUCUGUCUGCAACACUUCCUUACCUACAUUCCUAUGUAAUGGUACCAUCUUGGUAUCUCUCUAUUUAUUAUUUGUGACACAGAGGUCAUAUGAAGACGUUUUUGGGGGGUGGGGGGUGUUUAUUUUAUUAUGUUUUGCUCAUUGUUUUGUGUAAAUACUGAUACUGUGGUGAUGAUAUGAAACAUUUGAUUUGACAGGAGAGCUGGUGUUUUGGUGAAUCUAAUGGAUUUGAUUUGACAGGAGAGCUGGUGUUUUGGUGAAUAAUGGAUUUGAUUUGACAGGAGAGGUGGUGUGGUGAAUCUAAUGGAUUUGAUAUGACAGGAGAAGUGGUGUGGUAAUUCUAAUGGAUGGCUGCAGUGCCUUGUUAGAGAGCAGUUGUUGUUUUCGACAUGGUUUUGGUUCCAGUCUGCACCGUUUUAGUAAAAGUUGUACAAAACUAAACCGCGUUCCUCCUCUCUUUGCUUUCAUCCUCCUACAUUGCCAUUUAGCAAACGCUUUUAUUCAAAGCAACUCACAGUAGUGCGUGCCUGCAUUUCUAUACACAUUUGACAACAAUGGUUGUUGUGAUGCAACUGAUAUUUAUAUGAAGGUUUGUCUGCACAAAACAUGUUUACACAACCAUUGUGCUUUGUCUCCAACACUUUUUAUGCAGAUAAACUGUCCACUGUAUCACAACUGUUGUGCCAAAUGCGUUGUACAUCAGCUGUACAACUUGUGUACAGGGCCUUAUAGGGAGAACCUCAAUUGCAUUUCCUUGAUUCCUCGCGUCCGCUCUCCUCGCCUCCUUCUCAAAACCCAUUGGACGAGAAGGUCAGAGGUCCCUCCUUUUCGGCCUUCUCAUCCAAUGGGUUUUCAAGAAGGAGGCGGGGAGAAAGGACUUGAGGAAUCAAGGAAAUGCAAUUGAGAUUCUCCCUGUCUGGGUCAUUGUGAGUCACAGGGCCCACCACUCAGAGGUUCAACAGUGACGAUCAUUUCAUGGUAAAUCAACAGCGUUUAUUAAUAUGUUCUUAGUACAGAACACCAGUAUAAAACAUCAGAGGCAGAAGAUCAACAACAACAUAAACAUAGUCAUGUCGUGUGUGUGUGUGUGUGUGUGUGUGUGUGUAUAAAAAUGUAUGUAUGUGUGUGUAUGUUUAUGUUUGUAU